rnacentral:lncRNA from 1 species
AUUAGGAGGCAAGGUUCCGCCGCAUCGACAGCAGACAAAAGGAAUCCAGCUGUGACCAGAGCCGAGAGACAGCCGUGCCAACCAGCUCCAUCCAGCUCGGUCCAAGGUUCUCCAGGAACAAGCGGCGAGAAUACGAGGCAAGGCUCCGCCGCAUUGAAAGCA